rnacentral:rRNA from 1 species
GUGGGGAAUAUUGGGCAAUGGGCGCAAGCCUGACCCAGCGACGCCGCGUGAGGGAAGACAGCCUUCGGGUUGUAAACCUCUGUUGCAGGGGAAGAAGGAAGUGACGGUACCCUGCGAGGAAGCUCCGGCUAACUACGUGCCAGCAGCCGCGGUAAUACGUAGGGAGCGAGCGUUGUCCGGAAUUACUGGGCGUAAAGGGCGCGUAGGCGGCGCUUCAAGUCGUCUGUCAAAAGCCGAGGCUCAACCUCGGCGCGCAGACGAAACUGGAGAGCUUGAGAAGCAGAGAGGCAAACAGAAUUCCUGGUGUAGCGGUGAAAUGCGUAGAUAUCAGGAAGAAUACCAGUGGCGAAGGCGGUUUGCUGGCUGCAUACUGACGCUGAAGCGCGAAAGCCAGGGGAGCAAACGGGAUUAGAAACCCCAGUAGUCC